GACAGAGGGUGCAAACGUUGCUCGGAAUCAGCUGGGCGUAAAGGGCGUGUAGGCGGGACAGUAAGUCGGGCGUGAAAUCCCUGGGCUCAACCCAGGAACUGCACUCGAAACUACUAUUCUUGAGUGUCGGAGAGGAAAGCGGAAUUCCUGGUGUAGAGGUGAAAUUCGUAGAUAUCAGGAGGAACGACCAGUGGCGAAGGCGGCUUUCUG
rnacentral:rRNA from 1 species